UCGCGGGAUGGAGCAGUUCGGUAGCUCGUCGGGCUCAUAACCCGAAAAUCGCAGGUUCAAAUCCUGCUCCCGCAAU
rnacentral:tRNA from 1 species